rnacentral:rRNA from 1 species
AUUGAACGCUGGCGGCAUGCCUAACACAUGCAAGUCGAACGGUAGCAGGAGCUAGCUUGCUAGCUUGCUGACGAGUGGCGGACGGGUGAGUAAUGCGUAGGAAUCUGCCCUUAAGUGGGGGAUAGCCCGGAGAAAUCCGGAUUAAUACCGCAUGUGCUCUACGGAGCAAAGCGGGCCUCUGUUUCAAGCUCGCGCUUGAGGAUGAGCCUACGUCGGAUUAGCUAGUUGGUGGGGUAAAGGCCUACCAAGGCGACGAUCCGUAGCUGGUCUGAGAGGAUGACCAGCCACACUGGGACUGAGACACGGCCCAGACUCCUACGGGAGGCAGCAGUGGGGAAUAUUGGACAAUGGGCGAAAGCCUGAUCCAGCAAUGCCGCGUGUGUGAAGAAGGCCUGCGGGUUGUAAAAGCACUUUUGUCGGGAAAAGAAAAAUCACAGGGUUAAU